rnacentral:tRNA from 2 species
AGGCGACUUCAGGCGGAGAGCACUGCAUUGACAUUGCAGGGGUCACAAGUUCAAUCCUUGUCACGCCCACCA